rnacentral:rRNA from 1 species
GAGCUUGCUCUUAUGGGUGGCGAGUGGCGGACGGGUGAGGAAUACAUCGGAAUCUACCUUUUCGUGGGGGAUAACGUAGGGAAACUUACGCUAAUACCGCAUACGACCUUCGGGUGAAAGCAGGGGACCUUCGGGCCUUGCGCGGAUAGAUGAGCCGAUGUCGGAUUAGCUAGUUGGCGGGGUAAAGGCCCACCAAGGCGACGAUCCGUAGCUGGUCUGAGAGGAUGAUCAGCCACACUGGAACUGAGACACGGUCCAGACUCCUACGGGAGGCAGCAGUGGGGAAUAUUGGACAAUGGGCGCAAGCCUGAUCCAGCCAUACCGCGUGGGUGAAGAAGGCCUUCGGGUUGUAAAGCCCUUUUGUUGGGAAAGAAAAGCAAUCGGCUAAUACCCGGUUGUUCUGACGGUACCCAAAGAAUAAGCACCGGCUAACUUCGUGCCAGCAGCCGCGGUAAUACGAAGGGUGCAAGCGUUACUCGGAAUUACUGGGCGUAAAGCGUGCGUAGGUGGUUGUUUAAGUCUGUUGUGAAAGCCCUGGGCUCAACCUGGGAAUUGCAGUGGAUACUGGGCGACUAGAGUGUGGUAGAGGGUAGUGGAA